UACAGAGGUCUCAAGCGUUGUUCGGAUUCAUUGGGCGUAAAGCGCGCGUAGGCGGACCGGAAAGUCGGUUGUGAAAUCCCUGGGCUCAACCCAGGAACUGCAUCCGAAACUCCCGGUCUCGAGUGACGGAGAGGAUAGUGGAAUUCCCGGUGUAGAGGUGAAAUUCGUAGAUAUCGGGAGGAACACCAGUGGCGAAGGCGGCUAUCUGGACGUCCACUGACGCUGAGGCGCGAAAGCGUGGGGAGCAAACAGG
rnacentral:rRNA from 1 species